GACGAACGCUGGCGGCGUGCUUAACACAUGCAAGUCGAACGGACAGGCCCUGCUUUUGUGGGGUGCUCGAGUGGCGAACGGGUGAGUAACACGUGAGUAACCUGCCCUUGACUUUGGGAUAACUUCAGGAAACUGGGGCUAAUACCGGAUAGGAGCUCCUGCUGCAUGGUGGGGGUUGGAAAGUUUCGGCGGUUGGGGAUGGACUCGCGGCUUAUCAGCUUGUUGGUGGGGUAGUGGCUUACCAAGGCUUUGACGGGUAGCCGGCCUGAGAGGGUGACCGGCGACAUUGGGACUGAGAUACGGCGCAGACUCCUACGGGAGGCAGCAGUGGGGAAUAUUGCACAAUGGGCGGAAGCCUGAUGCAGCAACGCCGCGUGCGGGAUGACGGCCUUCGGGUUGUAAACCGCUUUCGCCUGUGACGAAGCGUGAGUGACGGUAAUGGGUAAAGAAGCACCGGCUAACUACGUG
rnacentral:rRNA from 1 species